ACUUUGCCGGAUUAGCUGAGAGGUGGUGCAUGGCCGUCGUCCAGUUCGUACUGUGAAGCAUCCUGUUAAGUCAGGCAACGAGCGAGACCCACGCCCACAGUUGCCAGCGUACUCUCCGGAGUGACGGGUACACUGUGGGGACCGCCGCUGCUAAAGCGGAGGAAGGAAUGGGCAACGGUAGGUCAGUAUGCCCCGAAUAUCCCGGGCUACACGCGAGCUACAAUGGUUGGUACAAUGGGUAUCUACCCCGAAAGGGGACGGGAAUCUCCUAAAACCAAUCUUAGUUCGGAUUGAGGGCUGCAACUCGCCCUCAUGAAGCUGGAAUCCGUAGUAAUCGCGUUUCAACAGAACGCGGUGAAUACGUCCCUGCUCCUU
rnacentral:rRNA from 1 species